UGGUGGAGUGAUUUGUCUGGUUAAUUCCGAUAACGAACGAGACUCUAGCCUGCUAAAUAGUCUGCAGAUCUCUUUGUCUGUAGUACUUCUUAGAGGGACAAGCGGCUUAUAGCCGCACGAAAAUGAGCAAUAACA
rnacentral:rRNA from 1 species